rnacentral:rRNA from 1 species
AACGAACGCUGGCGGCAUGCCUAACACAUGCAAGUCGAACGCCCCGCAAGGGGAGUGGCGGACGGGUGAGUAACACGUGGGAACCUGCCCAAUGGUCUGGAAUAACCGCGGGAAACUGCGGCUAAUACCGGAUAAGCCCGAGAGGGGAAAGAUUUAUCGCCGAUGGAGGGGCCCGCGUCCGAUUAGGUAGUUGGUGGGGUAACGGCCUACCAAGCCUACGAUCGGUAGCUGGUCUGAGAGGAUGAUCAGCCACACUGGGACUGAGAUACG